rnacentral:rRNA from 1 species
UACGUAGGGGGCUAGCGUUGUCCGGAAUCAUUGGGCGUAAAGCGCGUGUAGGCGGUCCGGUAAGUCCGCUGUGAAAGUCGGGGGCUCAACCCUCGAAUGCCGGUGGAUACUGUCGGGCUGGAGUGCGGAAGAGGCGAGUGGAAUUCCUGGUGUAGCGGUGAAAUGCGCAGAUAUCAGGAGGAACACCAGUGGCGAAGGCGGCACGCUGGGACGUAACUGACGCUGAGGCGCGAAAGCGUGGGGAGCAAACAGG